rnacentral:tRNA from 1 species
AAGAUAUUAGUAAAGCAUAUUACACCACCUUGUCAAGGUGACAUCACAGGUUAAACUCCUGUAUGUCUUA